AACAGCCGAGAGAGAGAGAGAGAGAGAGAGAGAGAGAGAGAGAUAGGCCCACGUGAACUAACCAAUCCAAGGUACAUAAGUUAGGAACCUCAGUUUGGAAGCUCAAUUCAACCUCCUUGCCAGCUCGACGGGACCGGACCGGACCGAGCCGAGCCGAUUCCAUUGCAAUUACAUCGGCCCAAAGCCGAUAGCCCAAAUGGUCGAUCCUCUCACCUCACGCGCCCGCCCCCGGCGACCCCUCAACGGCUCGACCGUACCGUAUGAACCCCAAGACUUACGGCUCAUGCGCCCGGCACUUCAUCGCCGCUUACUCACCGACCAUUACCCCCCCCCCCCCCCCCCCGUGUUUUUGUUUCUAUGCUUUGCCUUCAUUCCUCCUUUACCCCCUUAAACCAACCAUCCCCCGCUCCCACCCGAAACUAUAGUCACCACCACCACCUGGCUCCUGAUGGGUGACCUUACGGAUACCCUCUCGCCUCCGUCGACGACCCCACCGGCCGCUGCUCACUCCCGCCCCUUGCCGGUCCGAGAGGACUGCUGGAGCGAGGACGCCACCUCCACUCUGAUUGACGCCUGGGGCAGCCGUUACCUCGAGCUUAACCGGGGGAACCUCCGUCAGAAGGACUGGCAGGACGUGGCCGACGCCGUCAAUGCCCUCCACGGCCACACCAAGAAAACCCACCGUACUGACGUCCAGUGCAAAAACCGGAUCGACACCAUCAAGAAGAAGUACAAGAUCGAGAAGGCUAGGGUUUCUUCCUCCGACGGAACCCUCGUCUCUUCUUGGCCUUUCUUCGAACGCCUCGACGCUCUCAUCGGAUCCAACGUCUCCGUCAAAAAACCGCCUCCGCAACCGUCUCCGUCCUUGUCGCCUUCUCCGCCGCUGGCCGUCCCUCUCUACAGCAAGAAAACGGCGCCGUCACCAUCUACUGCGCUGGUGGUGUUGCCGCAGAAGAGGACGGUUUCGGCGAUGGACGAGGGGUCUUUCAGGAGGAACUACUCGGCGAUGGCGGCUGCGGCUGCUGCUUCGGCGGAAGAUGACGUGGAGGAUGAGGAUGAGGAGGAGGAGGAGAGGGAGAGCGAGGAGGUGGAGGAGAUAGAGGGGAUGAGGAGGCUGGCGAGGGCGAUAGAGACAUUCGGAGAAGUGUACGAGAGGGUGGAGAGGGAAAAGUUGAUGCAGAUGGUUGAGUUGGAGAAGCAAAGGAUGCAGUUCGCUAAGGACUUGGAGGUGCAGAGGAUGAAUAUGUUCAUGGACACGCAGGUUCAGCUCGAGAAAAUCAAGCGUGGCAAACGUUCUAGAUCCAACGGUGUGGGAAAUUUAUCAUCUUUCUACAAUUUGUUUUCGUUCUAAUUCAUAGAUUUUGGACUUGGGUGAAUAUAGAUAUGGAUCUAUAAAGGAACAAUAUUAGAUCGUAAGCACAAUCCGGUAUUCAAGAUUAUGUAUGUUGUCAAAACUCAUUGACUGGUGAAACUUGAUGACUCGAAUGGUUUGAGGAAGCUAUACAUCUUGAAGGUUUUAGGGAACUCUCCCCUUGAUUGUUUGUUGGUGAAAAGAGUAAUCUUAGGCAGUUUUUAAAUGCUCUAAUGUGAGAAUUGUAAUGACAUGGCGUUUAUAAUUUUUUACUAUGAAAGCGGACGCUUGCCUUUUUCCUUUUAUUUCUCGCUUUGCUAGUUUGAAUGAAAAGGUGCUCAUUAUUUAUUAAUUAAAUGAAAGAAGGUAACUGUAAGGUCACUGCACUUGAAACAGAAAAUAAUAAUGAAGCCAAUUGUGAAGUUGGCAUUCUCUUUUAUCAAUUGUUCAAGCAUUUUGGGCGUCAAAUGGCAGUAAGUUGAAAGGUCUUUGUUUGAGUUACAUUUGUGUCUUUGAGGUUCCAGAGCGCCCAUGAUCUUGAGGCACGGACCUUGUUUUGAGAAUUAGUGAUGAGCUUUUGGGCUAUGAAGCAUAAUAGCUGCUUAAUGCAUGCAUGUUUCAUAUUACUUUUGCUUGUUCUUAGAAUUCUAUGGCAUCUGACUGAUAGGGUAUUUGUGAGGCACGGACUUUGUUUUGAGAAUUAGUGAUGAGCUUUUGGGCCAUGAUGCAUAAGAGGUGCUUAAUGCAUGCGUGUUUCAUGUUAAUUUUGCUUGUUCUCAGUUUGUUAAGGAGGGAUCCUUUCAAUUAAAUGUCUUUUAUAGGUUGGCGAGUUGGUCCUGGAUUUAUGCUUUGAGAAUGAGUUUACUUCUGGAGGCUUGAAAUGGUGUUAAAUAGUAUGUGGAAUUGCCUGGACAGGAUGUAGAUUCAUGAAUUUCUAGCGCUUUUCUGUUUUCUAGUCAGGUGGUUCUCUUGUAUACUUUAUAAUGGGGUAACACACUGUUUUCUUAUUAAAUAUCAAUAAAAUUUACCCUAUAAAAAAGGUUGGAGAUUUGCGAUGUGCAUGGUCCGAUCAUUUGUCUAAAAAAAAUUAUACAAUAAAAUCAGGGUUUUGAAAAGCACUGGAAAAAUUUUUUUUUUUUUUCUUCCCAUCGAAUAAAAUAUUUUGAUAAUUAUAAACUCAAAAGGAGAAGUUCCAGCACUAAGGUGGUUGGUGUGGUAAGGUGAGCAACUCCUUUUUUCAAAGAAGAGUGCCAUCCUUCUUUCUUCAGUCGAGCAUUCCAUAACUUAGUGAGCACGGUUAUUGAAUCUUUUUGUUGAGCGUUUUGGUAUUGUAAGAUACGGUUGAUAAGAACUGUCAACAAUUACAUUCUGCUUUUAGUAAUGGAACAAAAGACUCACAGUUCGAGUUAUGUAGGAUCUUUUGAAUUGCAAAUAUCUGAAUCCCUUGGAGGGAGUUUUAUUUUUUUUAGUAAUAUAAAAAUUUAUGGAAACUAGUAAAUACCCAAGUGUUGGGUCAAGCUUUAUAAAUUCAAAUUAGUUAAAAUGGACUGCAGAAAGAGAUGGUGACCCAAUGUGUAUGAGGUUAUUCUAGGAGAUUUCAGCUUCCUCUGAGAAUUAUGAAAUGGAUAUUCAUCUGCCAGAUUUUGUAAGUUGUACUCUCCUUACCUGUUUUAACACAGUUGGUUAGUCUGUGUUGAACAUGCAUCACAGUCCUAUGUGGUUUUUAGCACAGGAAUGCAAGUAAAGGUUUUAGCUGAGAAACAUUCAGGAAUCAGGAUGCUGAUUGGUUAGGAGAUUGUCAUAAAGAAUGCAUUUUGUAUUCUCUUGAGUCGAUCAAGUAGCUUGUCCUGUUCUCAGAUAUUUGAGAUUCUCUUGAGUCGAUCAAGUAACUUGUCUUGAAUCAGGAUGCAGGUUUGGGGUCAGUAAUUUUCACUAUUAUGCUGUUAUUGUUCUUCUAGUUGCACUUCAUACAAAGUAGACCCAUUUAAGUGGGUUAACAAUUAACCUUCUACUGGGAUGGGGUUGGUUUUGUUAACUAGGUUGGAGGUGCGUUUUAAGAUGUAAUGUCUAAACUUGAGUUGUCUACUUUCUUUCUUUCAAUUUUUUGUUUAGUUUUUUUAUUUUUUGUUUGUUGUUGGGGGGAGGUGAAGGGGGUGUUGCAGUGACCUUAGGUUGGGCUGGAAGAACUCUGUCUCAAACCUGUCUAUGCUAUUUCCCCAUGGAGGCACUGUGGUGAGAUAUGGAAACAAUAACCAGUAUGUUUUGCAUGCACUAAAAAAAUUGGGCUCGUAACUCUCCCAUCUGGAUGGGAAAGUUGUCUAUCUCUGUUAGUUGGAAUGGAAAUAUUCUGAGGACAUGAAUUAACUCCCAUUUCUGUGGUGACCAAGGUGCAGGUCCAAUUGAUUUAAUUAUAUUUUUUUAACACAGAAUAUUGAAUUUGUCAGUGCAGUUUGUGGUGAAUUCUAUUAUCUUAAUUUUAAUUUUUUACCAGUAUAUUUGGACUAGGAGUUUAUGAAUAGGUACAUACUCUCCCUUUUUUCACUCCCCACUUUUUUAUAUGUUCAAGUAUUAUUGACUGCUUUUCAUACUCGAUUGAUUUGUAUUCUGGGGUGAAAUUGGUAAAAUGAUGAUUUUAUUUAUAUGGUUGAAUGUUGAUAGGUUUUACAUUAUGUAAAGCAGGUAUGUUACUGUCUGUCUGGAGAUAGAUAAUAGCUUGUAAUGAUAUUCUUUACAGUUUGGUUCUCUCAAAUACAUGAGGCUGUUAGCGAUGUACCGGGCAUUUCAUUGCAUGGAAAACCUCACUUACGCAUCAUCGACAUUUGUUUUAUGGCCAUUCGAAAUGCACUCACAUACUUUAAAUGCUUGUUGAGCACUAGAAAGAGUUGAAACUGUUGCUUUCAACGCCAAUUGAGUAAUAGGAAGUGAAACAGUUUUUAGCAUAAAAAAAAAAACUAAGGCACUUUCCCCAUCCUUCUUGAUUUUUACAUGGAUGUUAAAAAAUGGUUUAAUUCUCGUGCAUGAUACCUUUACCCUUUGAAUCAUCCUAGGACUAAAAAAACUUUGGUCAAAUUAAAGAAAUAGUCGCCUCCAGUUAUCUUACCAUGUUGAUGUUAGAUAGCUCAGUGCCUUGACAUGUACCACGCACAUGAAGAGCUCGAACAAUUUCCAAAAUGCAUAAACUUAAAUCCUGUCUUGGGAUACUCCUUGUUUAGUUCAUCUGCUCUGUUAACCAAAGUGACAGAUUUAGACAAUGAUAAUCAAUAUAAUAGCUUGAUAUUGGGCGUCCCUUUCCUGGAUAAUUAGCCUGGCACUGGAAGAUCAUGGUGUGGUCAUGCCUGUAUGCAUUUCACAUAUGAAAAUGGCAAUUGAAAAACAUAACCACAGGUUUCUGAGAGAUGUUGCUGGUUUCCAUUGGGUUACUCCUCGGUAUUUCUGGAUUGAUUUCGUACUAUGGAAUAAAAAGCCUAUAUAGGGCGUAUACCGGCAGAUUUAUACAGUUAGCAGCCUAGCCAUGGACAGCUUUGCCUGGGAAGCAUGUGUAACAUCUUGAAUCGACAGUUGUGACGAAGUACAUAAUUGUUCUAGCAGAUAAUGGCAUCGGAAAAUCUCCCGCAGAUGAAUUUGUUAAAGAGUUAUGUGAUGUCCUGUUAUCUGGGACAUUUCUUUGCCCUUUCUUUUUCUCUAUCAUGUAACUUAAUUGGGCGGCUGCACUAGGCCUGAAUGUCGUCCAAUGUAUUUGAUUCUAACUGUAAUAUCCUCUUGAUUUUUAACUAGUUUCAGUUUUUAGCUUGAUUUUUGUCCAGCAUUAAAUGAGAAAAUCACCAUUCAAACGAUCUA